rnacentral:RNase_P_RNA from 2 species
GAAGUAAACUGGACGGUCGCUGUUUCGGCCAUACGGCUGGAAGAGAGGAAAGUCCGGGCUCCACAGAGCGGGAUACUCCGUAACGCGGAGUGGGGGCGACCCCAAGGAAAAGUGCCACAGAAAAUACACAGCCCACCCAGGAACUUGUUCUUGGAGGCAAUGGUGAAAAGGCGAGGUAAGAGCUCACCAGUACCGUUGGUGACGACGGUAGCUUGGCAAACCCUAUCCGGAGCAAGAUCAAAUAGGAAAGUGCUUGAGGACGGCUCGUCCGAUACUUUCGGGUUGAUUGCUUGAGCCCGGCGGCAACGUCGGGCCUAGAUUAAUGACC